AGCGAACGCUGGCGGCAGGCCUAACACAUGCAAGUCGAACGAACUCUUCGGAGUUAGUGGCGGACGGGUGAGUAACACGUGGGAACGUGCCUUUAGGUUCGGAAUAACUCAGGGAAACUUGUGCUAAUACCGAAUGUGCCCUCCGGGGGAAAGAUUUAUCGCCUUUAGAGCGGCCCGCGUCGGAUGAGCUAGUUGGUGAGAUAAAGGCUCACCAAGGCGCCGAUCAGUAGCUGGUCUGAGAGGAUGAUCCGCCACAUUGGGCCUGAGACACGGCCCAAACUCCUACGGGAGGCAGCAGGGGGGAAUCUUGCGCAAUGGGCGAAAGCCUGACGCAGCCAUGCCGCGUGAAUGAUGAAGGUCUUAGGAUUGUAAAAUUCUUUGACCGGGGACGAUAAUGACGGUACCCGGAGAAGAAGCCCCGGCUAACUUCGUGCCAGCCGCCGCAGUAACAC
rnacentral:rRNA from 1 species